rnacentral:lncRNA from 1 species
AAGAAGGUACAAAAAAAGUCUUGAAUUGCUGACACAAAAGAGAGAGUAAGACCACGAAGAGACUGGCUGUUGACUGCAGGGCACCAACAGCCGCCUUGGUGGUGGCAGUAGCUGGAUUUGGGGCAGUCGAAGUACUCUGGGAGGAGUUACUUGAAAUUGUUACAACAGUUGUUUGAUUGGAAUAAAUCUGCGUGGGUAGGAGCAGUGCCAGCAGCAGCAGCCCCAGCCCAAGCCUGGCCACCACUGCUCUGCCCACGUCCCCUCCGUCGGUGUGCAGCGUGUCUGGCUGGAUGCUGGGUGCUUGGAGAACUGCUCGCUCCAGGAGGGCGCGGGCAAGGACGAUAACAACUCUUUAUCAGAUUUUCUUUUGCAAAUAUUUUCUCCCAUUUUGUGGCUUACCUUUUCGUUCUCUUGACACUUGCAACCUUGCUAGAGUUGCUUAUUAAUUCCAGACAUUUUGUUUGUUGAUUUUCUCAGAUUUUCUUCAUGGCAUUCCAUGCUCAUGGGUAGGAAGAAUCAAUAUCAUGAAAAUGGCCAUACUGCCCAAGGUAAUUUAUAGAUUCAAUGCCAUCCCCAUCAAGCUACCAAUGACUUUCUUCACAGAAUUGGAAAAAACUACUUUAAAGUUCAUAUGGAACCAAAAAAGAGCCUGCAUCGCCAAGUCAAUCCUAACCAAAAGAACAAAGCCGGAGGCAUCAUGCUACCUGACUUCAAACUAUACUACAAGGCUACAGUAACCAAAACAGCAUGGUACUGGUACCAAAACAGAGAUAUAGAUCAAUGGAACAGAACAGAGCCCUCAGAAAUAACGCUGCAUAUCUACAACCAUCUGAUCUUUGACAAACCUGACAAAAACAAGAAAUGGGGAAAGGGUUAGCAUCAUUACUCAAACUCUCUUGAUGCUUUCCAAGCUUUCUAUCCAUACAUUAUUCUGAUUCUCAUUUUUUUCCUUUGCUUAUCAAAUUUAUUUUAAACAAUCCAGUAUAUGUUAGCCAUGCUAAGAUGCUAAGGCAUUUAUACAAUUAACCUAACAAAGUGCCAACUAGAUAUAAUAAAACAAUAUUACAGUAAAGACAGAGUUGAGCAGCAAAUGUCAGAAAGAAUAUUACUGAGAAAAGCAGUGAAGGGUAAGAAUAGUAAAGGGGAAAAAUAAUUUGAGAAGGUCAAAUCAGUUUUUCAUGAUUCUUAUUGAUGGAACAAAAACACUGUGUAAAAGAAGUUAGCAACACCUGUCUUUUUUUUUUUUUUUCUACAGGAUUUUACUCUGAGACCUAUUACAGUCAUGUAACAACCAGACAAUCUAGUUUGGUGUUACAUGUUGUGUUUAUUUCCCUUUGGUUAUUCGUUAUUGCCUAGCCUUUAGUAAAGUCUUUUUUUUUUUUUUUUGGAGACAGGGUCUUACCCUGUUGCCCAGGCUGGGGUAUAGUGCAAGCCAUUUUAUCACUCAUCAUCUCUUAAAAACAAAACUGGAAUGUUAAUCUAUUUUUGGUAGAAAAAGUUGGAGACCAUUUUAUCAAAUGGCUUAGACAUAUGAAGCUGUAUGUAACUUAAAACUACUUAUUUGCCGCAGAAAUAUUACAUAUAAAGAAAGAAGACAAAACUACACACACACAUUACAUUACCUAUA